UUAAAGAUACGCAGACAAUUCAAAAUGGGGACAAUGAACAAAACCUGUUUUCAUUUCUUCAUUUCUGAUAGGUGUAUACCAAGUAAUUCAAGCAAGACCUAAAGUUAAAAUCAAACUCUCCUCUUGUUUUUAUGCUAAAAAAUUCACAAUAACAAUUUCACACCAAUAGCUCCAAUUGGGAUAAAGAAAAAAGUCCAAAAAUUAUAUAUAUUAAAAAAAAUACUGAAUCCUAAAGAAAGGUAUAAAUAUUGCGAUAUGGGUACUGAUGAAAUUUACUUAACAUCACAAUUUAGCUAAAUAUUGAGCAUUAUGCGAACAAUUUAAACAUCUUCUGCACACAAUUACAACUUCCACUUCUAUAUAUUACAAGAGGGUGCUUGUGUAAUCCAUAAUACAGAGAAAGACUGACCCAGUUGCAGAGAGUCUGUGUCUGGGCUCAACAGGACCGGGCGAGGUACCAGCGGCUCCUCUCAUGUUCGAUUCACUAACUGCUUUGGAACGGCAACAUCUGAUCUGAAAACAAAUUACUAUAAGAAUACAAUUUCAACUCGAAAUUAAAUCACAUAAAACAGACUCGAAAAGCACAAUUUAACAACUUGGAAUCUCACUGAUUAUGUCAGCAAAAGCUCUACCUGUGGAGAAAGAGAAAGAUGUGAUCUUGGCUGAAGAAAGUGACUGAUUUACAAAGAAAAUGGAAAUGGCAGUAGUGAAAGUUUGGAGAGAGAGGCGGUCAAGUGUUAGAACUCAAAAGAGCAAUAAUAUUUGUUAGGUAAUUAACUAAU
rnacentral:lncRNA from 1 species